UCGCAUCUGUGCAUGCAGCAUAUCAAUAAGCGGAGGAAAAGAAACUAACAAGGAUUCCCUUAGUAACGGCGAGUGAAGCGGGAAGAGCUCAAAUUUGAAAUCUUCAAGGUUUUACCUUGACGAAUUGUAGUUUAAAGAAGUGUUUUCUGUUGAAGUUUUGGUAAAAGUUCUUUGGAAUAGGACAUCAUAGAGGGUGAGAAUCCCGUAUUUGACCAUUAUUUUCAGCUGUGUGAUACACUUUCAAAGAGUCGGAUUGUUUGGGAAUGCAGUCCAAAAUGGGUGGUAAAUUUCAUCUAAAGCUAAAUAUUGGCGAGAGACCGAUAGCGAACAAGUACCGUGAGGGAAAGAUGAAAAGAACUUUGAAAAGAGAGUUAAACAGUACGUGAAAUUGUCAAAAGGGAAGCGUUUGACACCAGUGUUGUUUUCUCGAAAAUCAAUUAAAAAGAGUUAGAUUUUGUUGUGUAUUGACCUUAACAGCUUGCAUUUCAAUUUUCUUGCUUUUUUUUAUGCACUUUUCGUUUAACAAGUCAACAUCAGUUUCUUUUGUUGUAAAAAGGUCAUUGGAAGGUGGCUUUCUUUUCGGAGAAAGUGUUUAUAGCCUUUGACUCCUGCAAUCGGAGAGACUGAGGUCUGCAGCGUAGAUCCUUCGGGGUUAGAUACAUUUGUGCUAAGUUAUAGCUUUUUAUAGACAACUUGUUGACUAUGAUUAGUCUUGUAGCUUACUCGCUUAUGCUAUUUUACCUACGCUUAGGAUGUUGACGCGCGUGUGUGCGUGAGUCUAUACAUGACUCUGUGCAUAUCAAUAAGCGGAGGAAAAGUAAAUGCUGUAUACCUACGCUUAGGAUGUUGACGCGCGUGUGUGCGUG
rnacentral:rRNA from 1 species